AUAUAACAUUGUUAUAUAUAAAUAUACAAUAUGUUCAAUACAGAGAUUAGUAUGGUCCCUGCACAAAGAUGACAUGAAAAUUCAUGAAGCAUUCUAUAUUUUC
ensembl:snRNA U6 U6 spliceosomal RNA